CGAUGGUUGUCGUCAGCUCGUGUCGUGAGAUGUGGUUAAGUCCGCAACGAGCGCAACCCCUACUUGUUAGUUGCCAUCAUUCAGUUGGGCACUCUAGCGAGACUGCCGGUAAUAAACCGGAGGAAGGUGGGGAUGACGUCAAAUCAUCAUGCCCCUUAUGACCUGGGCUACACACGUGCUACAAUGGUUGGUACAACGAGUUGCGAGUCGGUGACGGCGAGCUAAUCUCUUAAAGCCAAUCUCAGUUCGGAUUGUAGGCUGCAACUCGCCUACAUGAAGUCGGAAUCGCUAGCAAUCGCGGAUCAGCACGCCGCGGUGAAUACGUUCCCGGGCCUU
rnacentral:rRNA from 1 species